AGCAGGCUGGACGGCUGCGGACGGAGCGGGAAACUGCCCGUCUGAGGAAAGUCCGAGCUUCCCAGGGCAAGGAUAACGGCUAACCGCCGCCGGGGGCGACCCCAGGGAAAGUGCAACAGAGAGAUACCGCCGGGAAUUUUCCGGUAAGGGUGGAAAGGCGAGGUAAGAGCUCACCGGCGCGUGGGAGACCACGCGGCCCUGUAAACCCUAUCCGAAGCAACACCGUGGAGGAACAGAUAGCGUGGCCCGCGCGUUCCGAGGAGGUGGCGUGAGCCGGAUGGCAACGUCCGGCCAAGAUAGAUGGCUGUCCACGACAGAACUCGGCUUAUAGGCCUGGUC
rnacentral:RNase_P_RNA from 1 species